GCAGUCGAACGGUAACAGGUCUUCGGACGCUGACGAGUGGCGAACGGGUGAGUAAUACAUCGGAACGUGCCCAGUCGUGGGGGAUAACUACUCGAAAGAGUAGCUAAUACCGCAUACGAUCUGAGGAUGAAAGCGGGGGACCUUCGGGCCUCGCGCGAUUGGAGCGGCCGAUGGCAGAUUAGGUAGUUGGUGGGAUAAAAGCUUACCAAGCCGACGAUCUGUAGCUGGUCUGAGAGGACGACCAGCCACACUGGGACUGAGACACGGCCCAGACUCCUACGGGAGGCAGCAGUGGGGAAUUUUGGACAAUGGGCGAAAGCCUGAUCCAGCAAUGCCGCGUGCAGGAUGAAGGCCUUCGGGUUGUAAACUGCUUUUGUACGGAACGAAAAAGCUUCUCCUAAUACGAGAGGCCCAUGACGGUACCGUAAGAAUAAGCACCGGCUAACUACGUGCCAGCAGCCGCGGUAAUACGUAGGGUGCGAGCGUUAAUCGGAAUUACUGGGCGUAAAGCGUGCGCAGGCGGUUAUGUAAGACAGAUGUGAAAUCCCCGGGCUCAACCUGGGAACUGCAUUUGUGACUGCAUGGCUAGAGUACGGUAGAGGGGGAUGGAAUUCCGCGUG
rnacentral:rRNA from 1 species